CACGUAGGCGGUCCGGCAAGUCGGGUGUGAAAGCCCUCGGCUUAACCGAGGAAGUGCAUUCGAAACUACUGGGCUUGAGUACUGAAGAGGAUCGCGGAAUUCCCGGUGUAGAGGUGAAAUUCGUAGAUAUCGGGAGGAACACCAGUGGCGAAGGCGGCGAUCUGGGCAGAUACUGACGCUGAGGUGCGAAAGCGUGGGGAGCAAACA
rnacentral:rRNA from 1 species